ACCACCUCCCACGCAUAUGUUGAAACCCUUCCUCGACUAUGAAGAAAACCGGCUUCGACUAGACCUGUGACUAAAAAAUGAUCGAUUCUUUAAACGGCAACCUAUAUUUAGUCGAGGCUGGUUGUGAAUUAGAUGAAAUAAU